GCUUCCUGCUCCCGGGGGAGGGAAGCCUGGCCAGUCGGGGAUCUACCCGGUCAACCCCUGGCAUCCAAACUUCCACUCUUCCAAUGGGGGAGAAGGGAGGCAGAACCCCAAGUCCCGAAGCUUGGGGCAGCUCAGGAUAGGGGGACCGGAAACCAGCUGAAGGCUGGACCCAGUUCACUGUCAUCCUGGCAUCCAUACCGAGGGCUUUCUUGGAAUCUCAGAAAUAAAUUGUCAGAGGGAGACUGAGGCACAAAGGAGGGAGAAGCAGCCCAGCUGAGGCUCACACCCACCUUGCCUGAGCCACUGCGGUCAGCUGCAUGGAAUGUUCACUCUAUGCUCCGCCCAGGCCUGCACCCUCCCCUGGCUUAGCAAACCAUAAAUCAGAGAAUUGGGAAAUCCUCCAUAAG
rnacentral:lncRNA from 1 species